rnacentral:rRNA from 1 species
GCAGAGGUGCUCAACGCCACUGGUGGAGAGUGGAUUUGUGCACGGUGAGAACUGCUGCACAAGGAGUGUUCGAUUGGACUCCUUUUCACACAAUGAACAACCAGCUUAGAACUGAUGCGGGCAAGGGGAAUCCGACUGUUUAAUUGAAACAAAGUAUUGCGAUGCCCUGAAAGGAUGUUGACACAAUGUGAUUUCUGCCCAGUGCUCUGAAUGUCAAAGUGAGGAGAUUCAACUAAGCGCGGGUAAACGGCGGGAGUAACUAUGACUCUCUUAAGGUAGCCAAAUGCCUCGUCAUCCAAUUAGUGACGCGCAUGAAUGGAUUAAUGAGAUUCCUACUGUCCCAAUCUACUGUCCAGCGAAACCACAGCCAAGGGAACGGGCUUGGGUGAGUCAGCGGGGAAAGAAGACCCUGUUGAGCUUGACUCUAAUCCGACUUUGUGAAAUGACUUAGGAGGAGUAGGAUAUGUGGGAGCUCAGGUGAUCUUGAAAUACCACUACUUUUAAUGUCACUUUACUUACUCUAUCCAACUGUGCCCUGCCUCACAGCANGUUUUUGCUUUCAAGGUUGCUCUUUUGGCGUGUUGAUUUGCGUAAA